GAUGAACGCUGGCGGCGUGCCUAAUACAUGCAAGUCGAGCGAACGGACGAGAAGCUUGCUUCUCUGAUGUUAGCGGCGGACGGGUGAGUAACACGUGGAUAACCUACCUAUAAGACUGGGAUAACUUCGGGAAACCGGAGCUAAUACCGUAUAAUAUUUUGAACCGCAUGGUUCAAAAGUGAAAGACGGUCUUUCUGUCACUUAUAGAUGGAUCCGCGCUGCAUUAGCUAGUUGGUAAGGUAACGGCUUACCAAGGCAACGAUGCAUAGCCGACCUGAGAGGGGGAUCGGCCACACUGGAACGGAGACACGGUCCAGACUCCUAAGGGAGGCAGCAGUAGGGAAUCUUCCGCAAUGGGCGAAAGCCUGACGGAGCAACGCCGCGUGAGUGGUGAAGGUCUUCGGAUCGUAAAACUCUGUUAUUAGGGAAGAACAUAUGUGUAAGUAACUGAGCACAUCUUGACGGUACCUAAUCAGAAAGCCACGGCUAACUACGUG
rnacentral:rRNA from 1 species